ensembl:lncRNA
UUCUCAUAAUUUAGUCUGUAGCAUAACAGCCCCAGUCCUUAUUCAUUUUCAUUAUAGUGAAUAAAGUGACCAGCAUAUUCAUUCAUGCUGACAUUUUGUUUUACAUAUUGGUUUGGAACGACAUAUGAUAAGAACUAUUUCUUUAAAGAACUAUGAUUUUUUUUUUUUUUCUCUUUUUUUUCAACAGGAUGGUUUGUUUUGCCACAGACUAUUAUUCCACCACAGGCAUAUUCAGUAUGAAUUUUUUUACAUAGCUUAAACAGCAGUUAUAUGUAAAUAGAUAGGGAGAUAAGUAUGCUUCCCUAUUGAGUUUUCACCUUUUCCCCCAUUCUUUGUAUUUAUUAUGCCUGAAAGUGUGCUUGUGUGCCAAAACUCUAGGAAGGCAAAGCGAAAUCAGGGCAGCAAUAUUGUGCUAUCAUGAUGAAUCACACCAAUCUCACAAAGAUUCCUGGAUGAUGAAGGGUUCCUCUGAUACCAAAUCUCCUGUUGUUUCUGAUCCUAGUGUGUAACGCGUGACCCCUCAUUUCCCACCUCGCUGACACCCUCUUUUCUGCAUCUGAGCCUCAUCUUGCAGGAGAGGCAAUCCAAGCUUUUGCUAACUGCAGAUAUCGAAGAGGAAUCUUAAACUGGAGAAAUUCUAGUUAAAAAGAGCAAGAUGGAGAACUAUUGAUCCCUUAUCCCAAAGGUGUCCACCGUAUGCAGAUGUCCCAAAGGUGCACCAGAGAAGGCUCCAGCAUUUUGAAUGCAUCGCAACCUUUCAUACCUUUUCAACUGCAGGCGCAACACUUCAGCUAUUGAAGGUAAGUUUCCACACAAAUGGGGUCCUUCAGUUGGCCCUGACUGAACCUGGCAAUGGAGGGGCACCUUUAGAAUCUGCCGGCCAGGGCAUUGAAAGGAGAGAUGCGGUGCUCAAGUCAUGCAUCUUACACAGUAACUACAGUCACAGAGCCUUCAACCCUGCUGCAUUCAGCUAUAAUUGCCCCUGACAGCAGGGCAAAUCAUCAGCACAGGGAUGUGAUAAGCAUUACAGCCAGAUGACAGCUCACAUAAGUGUAUUAGCAACACUGUGACAUAUCGUAUUACCACUGUGAAUAAAAUAAAGCCAACUUGGAACA